GGUGGCUAAGUGGUUAAGCAUUUGGCUGAUAACCAAAAAGUCGGCAGUUUGAAUCCACCAGCCA
rfam:Loxodonta africana unplaced genomic scaffold scaffold_24, whole genome shotgun sequence.